UGGGCAAUCUGCCCUUCUCUUCGGAAUAAGCGUUGGAAACGACGUCUAAUGCCGAAUACGACCUCCUUUCGCAUGAUCGGAGGUGGAAAGCUCCGGCGGAGAAGGAUGAGCUCGCGGCCUAUCAGCUAGUUGGUGUGGGUAAUGGCCCACCAAGGCGACGACGGGUAGCCGGCCUGAGAGGGUGACCGGCCACACUGGGACUGAGACACGGCCCAGACUCCUACGGGAGCAGCAGG
rnacentral:rRNA from 1 species